UACAGAGGUCCCGAGCGUUGUUCGGAUUCACUGGGCGUAAAGGGUGCGUAGGUGGCGAGGUAAGUCGGAUGUGAAAGCUCGGAGCUCAACUCCGAAAUGGCAUUGGAAACUACCUUGCUCGAGGGUUGGAGGGGGGACUGGAAUGCUUGGUGUAGCAGUGAAAUGCGUAGAUAUCAAGCGGAACACCAGUGGCGAAGGCGAGUCCCUGGACAACUCCUGACACUGAGGCACGAAAAGCGUAGGGGAG
rnacentral:rRNA from 1 species